rnacentral:misc_RNA from 1 species
AAGUCGUAACAAGGUUUCCGUAGGUGAACCUGCGGAAGGAUCAUUAAUGAAAUGAUUUUUUGGGGUUAUCCCUGAAAAAUAAUUCACCUUUUGUGCACUGUUAUAAGAUAUACUUUGGUUAGAGCUUUGGUUCCAAAAACAAUUGGCACCAACUUCUCGCUAACUCUAUCCUUUCUGAGGACAGUUGGCUAUGAAGCGGCCUACCAAGGUUUUUUAUCAAACUCUUGUAUUUUGUCUGACCUAAACUAUUAUAAUUAAAUCAUAACUUUCAACAACGGAUCUCUUGGCUCUC